GUGAGGAAUUUUCCGCAAUGGGCGAAAGCCUGACGGAGCAAUGCCGCGUGAAGGAUGAAGGCCUAUGGGUUGUAAACUUCUUUUCUCAGAAAAGAAUUAUGACGGUAUCUGAGGAAUAAGCAUCGGCUAACUCUGUGCCAGCAGCCGCGGUAAGACAGAGGAUGCAAGCGUUAUCCGGAAUGAUUGGGCGUAAAGCGUCUGUAGGUUGUUUAAAAAGUAUUCUGUCAAAGAUUAGGGCUUAACCCUAGAUAGGCAGAAUAAACUUUUAAGCUAGGGUUUGGUAGAGGCAGAGGGAAUUCCCGGUGGAGCGGUGAAAUGCGUAGAUAUCGGGAGGAACACCAAAGGCGAAGGCACUCUGCUGGGCCAAUACUAACACUGAGAGACGAAAGCGAGGGGAGCAAAUGGGAUUAGAUACCCGAGUAGUCC
rnacentral:rRNA from 1 species